GGGGGCGUAAAGGUUUCGACGGGGAUUUUGAAGUGUGAUAAGCGAGCGGAGCUGUUGUGUAAUCUCCUUAAACUGCACUACGUUUAAAUAUAAACGCAAGAAAAAAUAUUACAGUUACUAGAAAUAGUGCACUGGUAGCAGCUUAAGUCUGCUUCUGUCCUCUUUCAGAGUACCACGGCUGAUUGCAGGGCAUGGAUUAGUGGUGAACGAUUCUUCGGUGUGUCCGUACCGCUGAGUUGUAUUCGGACUACUUGUGUUUUCAGCCCGUUUAUCGGUUGACUGCACGGGGAAUGUUAAUAGGUAAACUAUGCUCGUAGAAAGUUGCAUGAAUGAGUUUUCGGACAGGAGUUCAAUUCUCCUCGCCUCCACCA
rnacentral:tmRNA from 1 species